rnacentral:rRNA from 1 species
GACGAACGCUGGCGGCGUGCCUAAUACAUGCAAGUAGAACGCACAGUUUAUACCGUAGCUUGCUACACCAUAGACUGUGAGUUGCGAACGGGUGAGUAACGCGUAGGUAACCUGCCUGGUAGCGGGGGAUAACUAUUGGAAACGAUAGCUAAUACCGCAUAAUAUUAAUUAUUGCAUGAUAAUUAAUUGAAAGGUGCAAUUGCACCACUACCAGAUGGACCUGCGUUGUAUUAGCUAGUAGGUGAGGUAACGGCUCACCUAGGCGACGAUACAUAGCCGACCUGAGGGGGUGAUCGGCCACACUUGGACUGAGACACGGCCCAGACUCCUACGGGAGGCAGCAGUAGGGAAUCUUCGGCAAUGGACGAAAGUCUGACCGAGCAACGCCGCGUGAGUGAAGAAGGUUUUCGGAUCGUAAAGCUCUGUUGUAAGAGAAGAACGGGUGUGAGAGUGGAAAGUUCACACUGUGACGGUAUCUUACCAGAAAGGGACGGCUAACUACGUG